UACGUAGGGGGCGAGCGUUUGUCCGGAAUCAUUGGGCGUAAAGCGCGUGUAGGCGGCUCGGAAAGUCUGGUGUGAAAUCUUGAGGCUCAACCUCAAGCUGUCACUGGAUACUGUCGAGCUUGAGUCCGGAAGAGGAGUGUGGAAUUCCUGGUGUAGCGGUGGAAUGCGCAGAUAUCAGGAGGAACACCUAUGGCGAAGGCAGCACUCUGGUACGUGACUGACGCUGAGACGCGAAAAGCGUGGGGAGCAAACAGG
rnacentral:rRNA from 1 species